UACAGAGGGGGCAAGCGUUAUUCGGAAUUAUUGGGCGUAAAGGGCGCGUAGGCGGCCUGGCAAGUGGAUGGUGAAAUCCCUCGGCUUAACCGAGGAACUGCCGUCCAAACUGCUUGGCUUGAGUCCGGGAGAGGUGAGUGGAAUUCCCAGUGUAGCGGUGAAAUGCGUAGAUAUUGGGAGGAACACCAGUGGCGAAGGCGGCUCACUGGACCGGAACUGACGCUGAGGCGCGAAAGCGUGGGGAGCAAACAGG
rnacentral:rRNA from 1 species